AAUGAACGUUGGCGGCGUGGAUUAGGCAUGCAAGUCGUGCGGAAAGGCUCCUUCGGGAGUACUCGAGCGGCGAAAGGGAGAGUAACGCGUGGAUAUCUACCCCCUGGACUGGGAUAGCGGCGGGAAACUGCCGGUAAUACCAGAUAACGUCUGCGGACCAAAGGUGUGAUUCCGCCGGGGGAUGAGUCCGCGUCCUAUUAGCUUGUUGGUGGGGUAACGGCCUACCAAGGCGAAGAUGGGUACCGGGUGUGAGAGCAUGGCCCGGCUCACUGGGACUGGGACACUGCCCAGACACCUACGGGUGUCUGCAGUGGAGAAUCUUCGGCAAUGGGCGCAAGCCUGACCGAGCGACGCCGCGUGCGGGAUGAAGGCCUUCGGGUUGUAAACCGCUGUCAGAGGGGAGGAAAUGCAUGAGGGUUCUCUCUCAUGUUUGACCUAUCCUCAGAGGAAGUACGGGCUAAGUUCGUGCCAGCAGCCGCCGCCGUAA
rnacentral:rRNA from 1 species